AUGCCAGGUCAUGCUGAUGCCAUAGGUUUUGUAUUAACAUUUGUCAGGCUUGAGAAGUUUCUGAGGAAAAAAAGAAAACAAACAAAAAAACCAACCAGCAAUGAUUUUAAUAUCUGUCAGCUGGCAAUGAGUUUCAAAGUUGAGAGUAAAAUUCUCUGUGUACAGUGCUGUCACUUCAACCCCAUCAGCAGAAAGGAAAGCAUCUUCAUCAAUGACCUGGAUGAAGGGACAGAGUGCACCCUCAGCAAGUUUGCUGAUGAUACCAAACUGGGAGGAGCGGCUGAUACACCAGAGGGCUGUGCUGCCAUUCAGAGAGACCUGGACAGGCUGGAGAGGUGGGCGGAGAGGAACCUCAUGAAGUUCAACAAAGGCAAGUGCAGGGUCCUGCACCUGGGGAGGAAUAACCCCCUGCACCAGUACAGGUUGGGGGUUGACCUGCUGGAAAGCAGCUCUGUGGAGAAGGACCUGGGAGUGCUGGUGGACACCAAGUUAAGCAUGAGGCAGCAAUGUGCCCUYGUGGCCAAGAAGGCCAAUGGUAUCCUGGGGUGCAUYAGGAAGAGUGUUGCCAGCAGGUSGAGGGAGGUGAUCCUCCCCCUCUACUCAGCCCUGGUGAGGCCACAUCUGGAGURCUGYGUCCAGUUCUGGGCUCCCCAGUACAAGAGGGAUGUGGCACUACUGGAGCAAGUCCAGCGAAGGGCUACAAAGGUGAUUAGGGGACUGGAGCAUCUCUCUUAUGAGGAAAGGCUGAGAGAGCUGGGCCUGUUUAGCCUGGAGAAGAGAAGGCUGAGAGGAGAUCUUAUCAACGUGUACAAGUAUCUGAAGGGAGGGUGUCGAGAGGAUGGGGCCAGACUCUUCAGUGGUGCCGAGCGACAGGACACGAGGCAACGGGCACAAACUGAAACACAGACAAUUCCGUCUGAACAUGAGGAAAUACUUUUUCACUGUGAGGGUGACAGAGCACUGGCACAGGUUGCCCAGAGAGGUUGUGGAGUCUCCUUCUCUGGAGAUAUUCAAAACCCGCCCGGACUCAAUCCUGUGCAACAUGUUCUAGGUGACCUUGCUUGA
rnacentral:lncRNA from 1 species